UACGGAGGGUGCGAGCGUUGUCCGGAAUCACUGGGCGUAAAGGGCGCGUAGGUGGCUACUCAAGCGCGCGGUGAAAGCCCGGGGCUCAACCCCGGGUCGGCCGUGCGGACUGGGAGGCUCGAGCACUGUAGGGGCGGGUGGAAUUCCGGGUGUAGCGGUGGAAUGCGUAGAGAUCCGGAAGAACACCAGUGGCGAAGGCGACACGCUGGGCCGUACCUGACACUGAUGCGCGACAGCAUGGGGAGCAAACAGG
rnacentral:rRNA from 1 species